rnacentral:rRNA from 1 species
GCUUGGGGAGUGACUAGCUACUGAAUCAUAGAAUUUCUUUAAAUUCAUGAUGUCGUAAGGGAAAAUAAUGAUAUUACCUUACUAUGAGUGUCGUCCAAAGCUGGUGCCAGAAGACUCGGUAAGACCAGAGACGCAAACGUUAAUCAUCUUAAACAGGCGUAAAGGGUUUGUAGGCAGCUUUCAUAAUAUUAUUUCUUACAAAAAUAAAGAAGUGGUCUGAUUGAAAGCUAGAAUCAAAAAGAGGUUAUAGUGUAUAACGCCUAGAGGAGGGCUGAUAUCCUUAGAUCCUAGGCAGAAUACUUAGGGCGAAGGCCACUCUCCACUAAUGAUUGACGCUGAGAAACGAAGGUAAGGGUAGGAAAUAGGAUUAGAUACCCCGGUACUCCUUUCUGUAAACGAUGAAUGGUAGUCAUUAGUAAAAUUAAAAAUUACUAGAGACGAAGUUAACACAAUAACCAUUCCGCCUUGUGAGUACUACUGCAAAGUAGAAAACAAAAAAAUUAGUCGGUCUCGAAGCAAACGGAGUGAAGCAUGUUAUUUAAUUAAUA